AUUGAACGCUGGCGGCAUGCCUUACACAUGCAAGUCGAACGGUAACGCGGGGCAACCUGGCGACGAGUGGCGAACGGGUGAGUAAUGUAUCGGAACGUGCCCAGUUGUGGGGGAUAGCUGCUCGAAAGAGCAGCUAAUACCGCAUACGACCUGAGGGUGAAAGCGGGGGAUCGCAAGACCUCGCGCAAUUGGAGCGGCCGAUAUCAGAUUAGGUAGUUGGUGGGGUAAAGGCUCACCAAGCCAACGAUCUGUAGCUGGUCUGAGAGGACGACCAGCCACACUGGGACUGAGACACGGCCCAGACUCCUACGGGAGGCAGCAGUGGGGAAUUUUGGACAAUGGACGCAAGUCUGAUCCAGCCAUGCCGCGUGCGGGAAGAAGGCCUUCGGGUUGUAAACCGCUUUUGUCAGGGAAGAAAUGCUCUGGGUUAAUACCUCGGGGUAAUGACGGUACCUGAAGAAUAAGCACCGGCUAACUACGUGCCAGCCGCCGCUGUAACAC
rnacentral:rRNA from 1 species